rnacentral:lncRNA from 1 species
GGGGAGUACCGGGUUGUGACAUAAUAAACAUGACUGUUUUUUCUUUAUCAGUCAAUGGUGGCUGGAUUUGUGAGGUAAUAUCUCUUUAUCUUCGAGCAUAGUCUUUGAAGCCUUCAAUAGUUUUAUUCUCCAUACUUGGGAGGGUCAAACAAUCUAGAGCCAUAUCUAGAACAUGUUUAUAUUAAAUCCUUUUAUGAGUGGACAUAGCUUCUAUCCAACUUGUUAUACCAUCUAAUGGUUGAUCUUGUGAGGCUAUCUUGAAAACAAUGGAUCAACAACUCAUGAGUGUGAGCAGCCAUCUUACGACAAUGCAUGGUGACAUGUGCCAUUGGACAUUUAGUCCCAUCACACUUUUCAAAAUCUCAAACCUUGAUCUUUGGAGGAAUCAUUAGUCCAAGUACAAGACUUAGUUUCAAUACAUCAAUGGAACCCAAGGCAUUUGUCCCUUCCAUAGCGCACAAUCAUUCUUCUAAGAGAUCAAACUUUUUUCUAUGUUCCCAAAUUAUAUACAGCCUUGGACAUACCUCAACUUUUCUUGUUCUCUCAUAUCAUCGAGGUCUAGAACUAUAAUAAGAUUAACAGGAUUUACUCCAGUAGUGGUUCCCUACACUAAUGAUUAUCCUCCAUAAGGAUGUCCACCUAUAAAUGGUAUGAGAUACUGGUGUUGUUUUUCAUAAACAGGGGGUUGGUACAUGGAACCAUUGUUGCUUGAAAUUUGUUGGCUAGUUUAGUUAGCAGGUUCUUCAACCAUUGUUUUCCCUUUGCUCAUGUUCAUAAUUACCUCCAUCAUCUGAGCCAACUGCUCUUUUAUCUCUUCUUGAACCUACUCUAUUUGAUCCAUUCACACAGCUUGUUGAUUUUCCAUAAUCCUAAUUUACAAGCGAGUAUUGUAUAAGUGACGAGUAGGUGGCCUUGGUGGUCGAGCUAUUUUGAGGACCUUAUUUUACCAUAAAAAUGAAAUAUGCUUAUUAAGUAAUUGUGCAAAUGUAUGUUCAAAUGAAAAAAAAAUCUUGGUUAUGUAAAGGUAUGUUCUAAAUAUGUUUUGGAUAUUUGUCACACAACAAUAAAUGACGAAGGGAGAUUCUUUUUAGUCAUAUGUCACGUGGCUAAUAUCCUUAUGUGAUGGAUGCAUGAUGCAAGUGCAUGAUUGUAAAAAGACAAAAAUUAAACAAUAAGAUAUCUUUAUAUGAUUGAUGCAUGAUGCAAGAUGCAAGUGCGUGAUUGUAAAAAUACAAGUUAACAUAAAACAACAUAUAAUACCAAAAUCUUGUGUACCUAUAUUCGAGUAUUUUCUAUGGUGCAUGGUUAAAGGGCUUUAACUUAGAGUUGGCUCCUUAUGGUUCACUAUUGGAUUAGACAUAAAGCUAAAGGUUCUCAAAUUGUUCCCCAUUGUUAUCCACUUUAUACUCGUAAGGCACCCCAAUCCUUACCCAUUAUGGGCUACCAACGGAAAGGGUUCAAUUUAAGUAGAAGUAUUUUACUUGCCCACAUAGAAGUUAUCACCUCACGAGAGCAGGGUACUUUACUUCCUCCUAAAAAGGAUAAAGCCUAGGUUGAAGGUUUAUGCAUGCAUGGAAGUGUUAUGUGUGAAUAAAUAAAUUAUGUACAAGGAAUAUGAACAAAAUAAUAGAUAAAUAAAUAAAUAAAUUUAAACUACAAGGCUUAAGACAACAAACAACUAGUUAUAGGCUCGACUCUCGAGAUCACUAGUGGAGUCUCCAAGUUGUCAUAACGUGGUGAGUCCUAAAACUCAACAGUUUGACUUAAUAGAAGUCACUAUCAAUCUUUUUGGUUUAGGUGUAAUUGAUUAUCUAGGUAAAUCUAUUUUUCUAAUGAGGUCUCAAGCUUGACUUAGGUUCUAGCCUACAAAACAAAUUUAGGUUUAGGAGUACAGUUACGUGUAAGGACGGUAUUAGCACCUUUACAACGCCCAUUUAAUUGGUACUUAAUUAAUUAUUUAUUAUCUUUAGCCUUAUUCAAUUUUAUUCCAUUCCCCAAAACAAACAAAAUCUCUUUGAUAUUGAAAUUUUUCUUGAAAUUUCCAACAAUUAUGAAGAAAUUCAAGAAAAAUCUCUCACUUUGGAAUUUGCAAGAAGCUAUUAUUCAUAAUCUUCUUGAAAUUCCAUCAUUGGAGAUUUUUUAUUUAUUUAUAUUUGUGAUUGAAAUAAUCAAAAACUUGAUACUGAAAUAUUCCUUGAAAACUCUAACACUUACGAUAGAAUUCAAGAAAAAUCUCUCACCUAGAAAUUUUCAAGAAGCUAUUAUUCUUAACCUUCUUGAAAUUCCAUCAUUGGUAAGUCUUUAUUUAUUUAAUUUAAACCCUCAUUUUUUAUGUCACAAAAAUCAAAAUAAAAAUAAAGAUUAAAAAGAAAAAAGAAAUAAAAAUAAACAAAACUUACCUAAUUGGCUAAAAAACCAACUGUAAAACUAGAUACCAAAUGUGUAAUGUCAAGAAUGAGGAAUCCUCUCUAAACCUUAUUCACGAAACUAGGACACUCUUUCUGUUUUUCUUUUCUAAUCUCUCUCUUUAAUCAAAAUAGAUUCCUUAGAAACUGAAUUGAUUCUCUUUGAUCUAUAUAAAAAAAUUGAAACCCAAGAACCCAAUAACUCUAAAGAAUAUUAUUUCUCUCCUUUGCCAAUUGUUUUUUCUCAGUUUUCUCUAUUUUUCUCUGUCUCCAUGUCCCUCAGCAUUGAUGCUUGGGUAUAUUUAUAGCCAAUGGGUUCUAUUUCUUCUUCAAUUAGUGUCUUGAGUUUUAAUGCAACCUAACUUAAUCUCUUUUUAGAUUUCCCAAUUCAUGUAAGAAUAGGAUUGGUGCACACAUAUUCUUAUUCUUUCAUAUUUAUCUCUUUUUAUUUUUGUAUUUUAUUUUUUUAUUUUUUCAAAAUAAAAUAAGUAACCCAAACAAAAUGGGGUGUCUACAACCUUUAUCUAGGAUUUUGGUGGAUUUUUACAUGUAACUUGGAUUAUUUGUUUCUCUUUUACUUAUUUUGAAUGGGUAUGUUCACGCUUAUUCAAAUCGAAAAUUUAUUGACCAUUGAUUACUUGAUGACCAAUUCGAUGGGUAUGGUAUCUAAAUGAGGCUUGACAAAGUUAGUUUAGAUUAGACCUAGGUUUGGAUAAUAUGUGAACAUAUCACUUAGAAAUUAAGUGCCUUGAUUAGCAUCUAGGGUAGACAUACGCAUAGAUGCCACAUAUAGUCAAAGUUAGUUUAAUUGAAUCUUGUAGACAUUUAGAGAGCCAAUUAAUCUAGCCAUUGUACAAACACUAGACAUAGGAUUGUACAAACAUUAAGAUUCGAGACCAACAUAAACCCCCGUUGAAUUAAGUAAUUAGAGAAAUAAUAAUCCAAAUAAAAUGUUGCAUGAAAUAAUAAUCCUAGACUUUUAAAAUACUGCUUCCAAUUUAUUUUACCUUGCAAUUCUUUAAUUAUCUUAAAUAAUUUGUUUGUUUUAUUAUUUUCCACACUUCGGUUAGCUUAGACAAGGUUAGCUUGACCUAAGUUCAGUACUUAGUGAAGAAUUAUAGUCAACUUCUCAUGGGAUCAAUAAUUGACUUUAUUACUUGUUCAUAGCACGUGCACUUGCAUGUUAGUUUAAAUUCAUAUAAGAUUUAAGCCUGUAACAGUGAACAACAAUUUAAAUAUAGUUCCAAAAUGAAAUCUUAGAUUACAAAAUAUCAAGUUCAUAGCAUUUUUCAUUGUACAUUGCAAUCACUCACCAUAUAAAUAUAUUUGUAUCAUAAUUAUUAUUAUGCAUUUAUCAUUUAUUCUUUGUUGUUAUUUAUAUACAAGAUUCGUUUUUAUUUAUCAUUGCAUUUUUUUAUGUCUAUUAUUAACAUAUUAGACGUCAGUGCUUAUAUACAAUGAUGAGUGACAAUCUUACACUUAUUUUUUAUCUACAGAGGUACAAUAAUUAAUGCCACUCUUUGGAGAGAUUUAGCAUAUUGCAUUGGUGACAACAUCAUCAGAAUCAAAUCAAAGCUGAUCAUGAUCUUUGGAAGCAUUGAAGGUCGAUCAUUUUCACAAAUGGAAUCCUUUCCCAGUACUCAUUUUAGAAAAUGAGACCAUUGUCAUCUCAUGGCUUACAUCUCAGAAAGACAAAUCACAAAAAAACAAUUUAUUAUUCAACAAGUUGGAUCUUCAAAUUAAAAAUAUUACUAGAGUUCAUUUUGUCCAUAGUCCUCGUGACGCUAAUUUCUUUGUUGACUCAGUUUGCUAAAGAAGGGAUAUAUGGAGUAAAAGAAUUAGUUGCUUGAAUUUCUUAAUUCACUUACUUUCUAGUCUUAGGAUCAAAGUUUCUAACUUUUUUGGGAUCGAUCUUUUCCUUUUAGUUUCAUUUUUGG